rnacentral:tRNA from 1 species
GCCGCCAUGGCACAACCUGGUAAUGCGGCGGUCUCGAAAACCGCUUUCCGCAAGGAUUUCCCAGUUCAAAUCUGGGUGGCGGCG